rnacentral:rRNA from 1 species
UGACAAUGGGCGCAAGCUGAUCCAGCCAUGCCGCGUGUGUGAAGAAGGCUUAUGGUUGUAAAGCACUUUAAGCGAGGAGGAGGCUACUUUAGUUAAUACCUAGAGAUAGUGGACGUUACUCGCAGAAUAAGCACCGGGCUAACUCUGUGCCAGCAGCCGCGGUAAUACAGAGGGUGCAAGCGUUAAUCGGAUUUACUGGGCGUAAAGCGCGCGUAGGCGGCUAAUUAAGUCAAAUGUGAAAUCCCCGAGCUUAACUUGGGAAUUGCAUUCGAUACUGGUUAGCUAGAGUGUGGGAGAGGAUGGUAGAAUUCCAGGUGUAGCGGUGAAAUGCGUAGAGAUCUGGAGGAAUACCGAUGGCGAAGGCAGCCAUCUGGCCUAACACUGACGCUGAGGUGCGAAAGCAUGGGGAGCAAACAGGAUUAGAUACCCUGGUAGUCCAUGCCGUAAACGAUGUCUACUAGCCGUUGGGGCCUUUGAGGCUUUAGUGGCGCAGCUAACGCGAUAAGUAGACCGCCUGGGGAGUACGGUCGCAAGACUAAAACUCAAAUGAAUUGACGGGGGCCCGCACAAGCGGUGGAGCAUGUGGUUUAAUUCGAUGCAACGCGAAGAACCUUACCUGGCCUUGACAUAGUAAGAACUUUCCAGAGAUGGAUUGGUGCCUUCGGGAACUUACAUACAGGUGCUGCAUGGCUGUCGUCAGCUCGUGUCGUGAGAUGUUGGGUUAAGUCCCGCAACGAGCGCAACCCUUUUCCUUAUUUGCCAGCGAGUAAUGUCGGGAACUUUAAGGAUACUGCCAGUGACAAACUGGAGGAAGGCGGGGACGACGUCAAGUCAUCAUGGCCCUUACGGCCAGGGCUACACACGUGCUACAAUGGUCGGUACAAAGGGUUGCUACCUAGCGAUAGGAUGCUAAUCUCAAAAAGCCGAUCGUAGUCCGGAUUGGAGUCUGCAACUCGACUCCAUGAAGUCGGAAUCGCUAGUAAUCGCGGAUCAGAAUGCCGCGGUGAAUACGUUCCCGGGCCUUGUACACACCGCCCGUCACACCAUGGGAGUUUGUUGCACCAGAAGUAGCUAGCCUAACUGCAAAGAGGGCGGUACCACGGGUGUCCCA